rnacentral:rRNA from 1 species
GCCGCGGUAAUUCGGAGGGUGCAAGCGUUAAUCGGAAUUACUGGGCGUAAAGCGCGCGUAGGCGGUUUAGCAAGUUGGAUGUGAAAGCCCUGGGCUCAACCUAGGAACUGCAUUCAAAACUACUAAGCUAGAGUACGAGAGAGGGAAGUAGAAUUUCUGGUGUAGCGGUGAAAUGCGUAGAUAUCAGAAGGAAUACCGAUGGCGAAGGCAGCUUCCUGGCUCGUUACUGACGCUCAGGUGCGAAAGCGUGGGUAGCAAACAGGAUUAGAUACCCUGGUAGUCCACGCCGUAAACGAUGAGAACUAGCCGUUGGAUAGAAUUGACUAUUCAGUGGCGCAGCUAACGCAUUAAGUUCUCCGCCUGGGGAGUACGGCCGCAAGGCUAAAACUCAAAUGAAUUGACGGGGGCCCGCACAAGCGGUGGAGCAUGUGGUUUAAUUCGAUGCAACGCGAAAAACCUUACCUACCCUUGACAUCCAGUGAAGUUUUUAGAGAUAAAAAUGUGCCUUCGGGAACACUGUGACAGGUGCUGCAUGGCUGUCGUCAGCUCGUGUCGUGAGAUGUUGGGUUAAGUCCCGUAACGAGCGCAACCCCUAUCCUUAUUUGCCAGCACAUUAUGGUGGGAACUAUAAGGAGACUGCCGGUGAUAAACCGGAGGAAGGCGGGGACGACGUCAAGUCAUCAUGGCCCUUACGACCAGGGCUACACACGUGCUACAAUGGGAAGGACAAAGAGCCGCGAAGCCGCGAGGUGUAGCUAAUCUCAUAAAUCUUUUCGUAGUCCGGAUUGGAGUCUGCAACUCGACUCCAUGAAGUCGGAAUCGCUAGUAAUCGUAGAUCAGAAUGCUACGGUGAAUACGUUCCCGGGUCUUGUACACACCGCCCGU